rnacentral:rRNA from 1 species
GAAGGCCUUCGGGUUGUAAACCUCUUUCAGCAGGGAAGAAGCGAAAGUGACGGUACCUGCAGAAGAAGCACCGGCUAACUACGUGCCAGCAGCCGCGGUAAUACGUAGGGUGCGGGCGCUGUCCGGAAUUAUUGGGCGUAAAGAGCUUGUAGGCGGUUUGUCGCGUCUGCCGUGAAAAUCCGGGGCUCAACCCCGGACUUGCGGUGGGUACGGGCAGACUAGAGUGUGGUAGGGGAGACUGGAAUUCCUGGUGUAGCGGUGAAAUGCGCAGAUAUCAGGAGGAACACCGAUGGCGAAGGCAGGUCUCUGGGCCACUACUGACGCUGAGAAGCGAAAGCGUGGGGAGCGAACAGGAUUAGAUACCCUGGUAGUCCACGCCGUAAACGUUGGGAACUAGGUGUGGGUCUCAUUCCACGAGAUCUGUGCCGCAGCUAACGCAUUAAGUUCCCCGCCUGGGGAGUACGGCCGCAAGGCUAAAACUCAAAGGAAUUGACGG